rnacentral:rRNA from 1 species
UACGUAGGGUGCGAGCGUUGUCCGGAAUUAUUGGGCGUAAAGAGCUUGUAGGCGGUUUGUCGCGUCUGCCGUGAAAGCCCAGGGCUUAACCCUGGGUCUGCGGUGGGUACGGGGCAGACUAGAGUGUGGUAGGGGGAGACUGGAAUUCCUGGUGUAGCGGUGAAAUGCGCAGAUAUCAGGAGGAACACCGAUGGCGAAGGCAGGUCUCUGGGCCACUACUGACGCUGAGAAGCGAAAGCAUGGGGAGCAAACAGG